GUCGAGGAUCUUCAGUUCAUCCCACCGUAGUGUGACCGAUGAAAACAGCGCUGGCGCUGGUAUCAGUCUCUCUGGAUUUACUUGAAAUAUGAUUUGCUGGAGUCGAUAUAGACUUUGGGCUUCGAGUAGAAACGGAUUUCCCUAUCGACUAUGUCCAGCUCUUUGUUGAUUUCGUCCUUUCGACUGCGCACCCACAGACUCUGUGAG